AAUCUUGGGCAAUGGGCGCAAGCCUGACCCAGCGACGCCGCGUGGGGGACGAAGGCCUUCGGGUCGUAAACCCCUGCUCUGGGGGAAGAAAACACAGGGGGUUAAUAGCUUCCUGUGCUGACGGUACCCCAGGAGCAAGUUCCGGCUAAUUA
rnacentral:rRNA from 1 species